UACGUAGGGGGCUAGCGUUGUCCGGAAUCAUUGGGCGUAAAGAGCGUGUAGGCGGUCCGGUAAGUCCGCUGUGAAAGUCGGGGGCUCAACCCUCGAAUGCCGGUGGAUACUGUCGGGCUAGAGUGCGGAAGAGGCGAGUGGAAUUCCUGGUGUAGCGGUGAAAUGCGCAGAUAUCAGGAAGAACACCCGUGGCGAAGGCGGCUCUCUGGGACGGUACUGACGCUGAGACGCGAAAGCGUGGGGAGCGAACAGG
rnacentral:rRNA from 1 species